UUCCGGUUGAUCCUGCCGGAGGCUACCGCUAUUGGAGUCCGAUUAAGACAUGCGAGUCGAGAGCUUUCGGAGCUCGGCAUACUGCUCAGUAACACGUGGGUAACCUGCCCUGUGCUGGGGGAUAACCUCGGGAAACUGAGAACAAUACCCCAUAGUCCACUACGCCUGGAACGGUGAGUGGAUGAAAGCCCCGGCGGCACAGGAUGGGCCUGCGGCGUAUCAGGUAGUAGGGGGUGUAAAGUACCCUCUAGCCUUCGACGCGUACGGGUUGUGAGAGCAAUAGCCCGGAGAUGGAUUCUGAGACACGAAUCCAGGUCCUACGGGACGCAGCAGUCGCGAAACCUUGACAAUGCGGGAAACCGUGAUCAGGGGACUCCAAGUGCCAGGAGUAAGAUCCUGUGCUUUUCUUCUCUCUUCAAAGGAUUAGGAAUAAGAGGUGGGUAAGGACGGUGCCAGCCGCCGCGGUAAUACCGGCGCCUCGAGUGGUAGUCGAUUUUAUUGGGCCUAAAACGUCCGUCGCCGGUCUGGUGCAUUCGUGGGUAAAUCAACCCGCUCAACGGGUUGAAUUCUGCGAGCACGGCCAGACUAGGGACCGGGAGAGGUGUGGGGUACGCUCGGGGUAGGGGU
rnacentral:rRNA from 1 species